ensembl:snoRNA Small nucleolar RNA SNORA47
UGGAGGAUUGAGAAGGUUAAGCCGCUCUGAAGUGCUGCUCUAACUGGUUAUAACCUCCGAAAGAAAAAACUAUGCAUUCAUGUAAAAUCGCUCUGCUAUGUGCAAGAGUGAUGAAAUGCUUGUGAACAAAUA